UACGAAGGGGCGAGCGUUGUUCGGAAUUACUGGGCGUAAAGGGCGCGCAGGCGGCUCUGAAAGUCAGAUGUGAAAGCCCCGGGCUUAACCUGGGAAUUGCAUUUGAUACUCUGGAGCUUGAGUACGGGAGAGGAUAGUGGAAUUCCCAGUGUAGAGGUGAAAUUCGUAGAUAUUGGGAAGAACACCGGUGGCGAAGGCGGCUAUCUGGACCGUAACUGACGCUGAGGCGCGAAAAGCGUGGGGAGCAAACAGGG
rnacentral:rRNA from 1 species